AUGCUGCUAAGGAUUAUGACUGAUGUUGAGCGUGAGGCCGUCGUUAGUGGUGGAGAUGAUGCUCGUGGUGUUCCAUUGAGUAGUGGGCACGAUGUUGGUACCAAAGAUGCUGAUGAGGAUGUUGGUGCUGCCAGCAUACUUGAUGCCAAAUUGUCUGGUGUUGGUUUUGCUGGGAAUGAAAAUCUUUCUGAUUGUAAAGAUUUGCCGCCGAAAAUUUCCCGCCUGGAGGGCUUGAUUACGGUGAUGCAUUGCAAGAUGCCUCUAGCGUGGAGGAGGAACUCCUGUCGUCAAACGUUGAUAGUGUAG
rnacentral:rRNA from 1 species